rnacentral:rRNA from 1 species
CCUACGGGAGGCAGCAGUGGGGGAUAUUGCACAAUGGGGGGAACCCUGAUGCAGCGACGCCGCGUGGGUGAAGGAGUGCUUCGGCAUGUAAAGCCCUAUCGGCAGGGAAGAAGCAAGACGGUACCUGACUAAGAAGCCCCGGCUAACUACGUGCCAGCAGCCGCGGUAAUACGGAGGGGGCGAGCGUUAUCCGGAUUCACUGGGUGGAAAGGGAGCGUAGACGGCCAUGCAAGCCAGGGGUGAAAGCCCGGGGCCAAACCCCGGGACUGCCCUUGGAACUGCAUGGCUGGAGUGCGGGAGGGGCAGGCGGAAUGCCUGGUGUAGCGGUGAAAUGCGUAGAGAUCAGGAGGAACACCGGCGGCGAAGGCGGCCUGCUGGACCGCGACUGACGUUGAGGCUCGAAAGCGUGGGGAGCGAACAGGAUUAGAUACCCGAGUAGUC